GGAGAUGUGCCAGAGUGGCCGAAUGGGGCUCCCUGCUAAGGAGUUGCCCCCUUGACGGGGGCCGCAGGUUCAAAUCCUGUCAUCUCCGCCA
rnacentral:tRNA from 24 species